GAGUUUGAUCGUGGCUCAGGACGAACGCUGGCGGCAUGCCUAAUACAUGCAAGUCGAACGAGGUUUCCUUAAUGAUAGUUGGUGCUUGCAUCAAUUCGACUUAAGAUCUAACCGAGUGGCGAACUGGUGAGUAACACGUGGGGAACCUGCCCUUAAGUAGGGGAUAACAUUUGGAAACAAAUGCUAAUACCGUAUAACAACAUAAACCACAUGGUUUAUGUUUGAAAGAUGGCUCUGCUAUCGCUUUUGGAUGGACCCGCGGCGUAUUAGCUAGUUGGUGAGAUAAUGGCUCACCAAGGCGAUGAUACGUAGCCGACCUGAGAGGGUAAUCGGCCACAUUGGAACUGAGACACGGUCCAGACUCCUACGGGAGGCAGCAGUAGGGAAUCUUCCACAAUGGGCGAAAGCCUGAUGGAGCAACGCCGCGUGGGUGAAGAAGGUCUUCGGAUCGUAAAACCCUGUUGUUAGAGAAGAAAGUGCGUGAGAGUAACUGUUCACGUUUCGACGGUAUCUAACCAGAAAGCCA
rnacentral:rRNA from 1 species